rnacentral:rRNA from 1 species
AAAUUGAAGAGUUUGAUCAUGGCUCAGAUUGAACGCUGGCGGCAGGCCUAACACAUGCAAGUCGAACGGUAACAGGAAGAAGCUUGCUUCUUUGCUGACGAGUGGCGGACGGGUGAGUAAUGUCUGGGAAACUGCCUGAUGGAGGGGGAUAACUACUGGAAACGGUAGCUAAUACCGCAUAAUGUCGCAAGACCAAAGAGGGGGACCUUCGGGCCUCUUGCCAUCGGAUGUGCCCAGAUGGGAUUAGCUUGUUGGUGGGGUAACGGCUCACCAAGGCGACGAUCCCUAGCUGGUCUGAGAGGAUGACCAGCCACACUGGAACUGAGACACGGUCCAGACUCCUACGGGAG